rnacentral:rRNA from 1 species
CAGUCGCCGCGGUAAUACGUAGGGUGCAAGCGUUGUCCGGAAUUAUUGGGCGUAAAGAGCUCGUAGGCGGUUUGUCGCGUCUGCUGUGAAAUCCCGAGGCUCAACCUCGGGUCUGCAGUGGGUACGGGCAGACUAGAGUGCGGUAGGGGAGAUUGGAAUUCCUGGUGUAGCGGUGGAAUGCGCAGAUAUCAGGAGGAACACCGAUGGCGAAGGCAGAUCUCUGGGCCGUAACUGACGCUGAGGAGCGAAAGCAUGGGGAGCGAACAGGAUUAGAUACCCCCGUAGUCCCUGUCUCUUAUAU